UNUGGCUUGUAACUGACGCUGAGGCUCGAGAGCGUGGGGAGCAAACAGGAUUAGAUACCNUGGUAGUCCACGCCGUAAACGAUGAGUGCUAGGUGUUAGACCCUUUCCGGGGUUUAGUGCCGCAGCUAACGCAUUAAGCACUCCGCCUGGGGAGUACGACCGCAAGGUUGAAACUCAAAGGAAUUGACGGGGGCCCGCACAAGCGGUGGAGCAUGUGGUUUAAUUCGAAGCAACGCGAAGAACCUUACCAGGUCUUGACAUCCCUCUGACCGCUCUAGAGAUAGAGUUUUCCUUCGGGACAGAGGUGACAGGUGGUGCAUGGUUGUCGUCAGCUCGUGUCGUGAGAUGUUGGGUUAAGUCNNNNNACGAGCGCAACCCCUAUUGUUAGUUGCCAUCAUUCAGUUGGGCACUCUAGCGAGACUGCCGGUAAUAAACCGGAGGAAGGUGGGGAUGACGUCAAAUCAUCAUGCCCCUUAUGACCUGGGCUACACACGUGCUACAAUGGCUGGUACAACGAGUCGCAAGCCGGUGACGGCAAGCUAAUCUCUUAAAGCCAGUCUCAGUUCGGAUUGUAGGCUGCAACUCGCCUACAUGAAGUCGGAAUCGCUAGUAAUCGCGGAUCAGCACGCCGCGGUGAAUACGUUCCCGGGCCUNGU
rnacentral:rRNA from 1 species